UAGAGUUUGAUCAUGGCUCAGGACGAACGCUGGCGGCGUGCCUAAUACAUGCAAGUCGAGCGCGGGAAGCGAGUGGAUCCCUUCGGGGUGAAGCUCGUGGAACGAGCGGCGGACGGGUGAGUAACACGUGGGCAACCUGCCUGUAAGAUCGGAAUAACCCCGGGAAACCGGGGCUAAUGCCGGGUAAUACUUUCUUUCGCAUGAAGGAAAGUUGAAAGAUGGCUUCUUGCUAUCACUUACAGAUGGGCCCGCGGCGCAUUAGCUAGUUGGUGAGGUAACGGCUCACCAAGGCGACGAUGCGUAGCCGACCUGAGAGGGUGAUCGGCCACACUGGGACUGAGACACGGCCCAGACUCCUACGGGAGGCAGCAGUAGGGAAUCUUCCGCAAUGGACGAAAGUCUGACGGAGCAACGCCGCGUGAACGAUGAAGGUCUUCGGAUCGUAAAGUUCUGUUGUUAGGGAAGAACAAGUACCGUGCGAAUAGAGCGGUACCUUGACGGUACCUAACGAGGAAGCCCCCGGCUAACUAC
rnacentral:rRNA from 1 species